rnacentral:rRNA from 1 species
AUUGAACGCUGGCGGAAAGCCUAACACAUGUAAGUCGAAAGAGUGGCGGACGGGUGAGUAAUGUCUGGGGAACUGCCUGAUGGAGGGGGAUAACUACUGGAAACGGUAGCUAAUACCGCAUACCAUCGGAUGUUCCCAGAUGGGAUUAGCUAGUAGGUGGGGUAGAGGCUCACCUAGGCGACGAUCCCUAGCUGGUCUGAGAGGAUGCCCAGCCAAAAUGGAAGUGAGACAAGGUCCAGACUCCUACGGGAGGCAGCAGUGGGGAAUAUUGCACAGUGGGCGCAAGCCUGAUGCAGCCAUUCCGCGUGUAUGAAGAAGGCCUUCGGGUUGUAAAGUUCUUUCAGCGGGGAGGCGUUACCCGCAGAAGAAGCACCGGCUAACUCCGUGCCAGCAGUCGCGGUAAUAC